GGUUGAUUAGUGUAGUUGGUUAUCACAUCGGAUUUUGAUCAUGACACAAUUUCCGGGGACCCGGGUUCGAAUCCCAGAUCGACCU
rnacentral:tRNA from 1 species